rnacentral:rRNA from 1 species
GUGGGGAAUCUUGCGCAAUGGGCGAAAGCCUGACGCAGCCAUGCCGCGUGAAUGAUGAAGGUCUUAGGAUUGUAAAAUUCUUUCACCGGGGACGAUAAUGACGGUACCCGGAGAAGAAGCCCCGGCUAACUUCGUGCCAGCAGCCGCGGUAAUACGAAGGGGGCUAGCGUUGCUCGGAAUUACUGGGCGUAAAGGGCGCGUAGGCGGACAGUUUAGUCAGAGGUGAAAGCCCAGGGCUCAACCUUGGAAUUGCCUUUGAUACUGGCUGUCUUGAGUACGGGAGAGGUGAGUGGAACUCCGGGUGUAGAGGUGAAAUUCGUAGAUAUUCGGAAGAACACCAGUGGCGAAGGCGACUCACUGGCCCGUUACUGACGCUGAGGCGCGAAAGCGUGGGGAGCAAACAGGAUUAGAAACCCUUGUAGUCC